UGGUCUGCCCCACUGUUCUCCACAAGUUUUGAAACUUGAAAGGUGAUGCAGUUGGUAUUAGUCUACUGAGUACUGUCUGGAAAGAGUAUCUUAUUCAAGUAAGAAAAAUGACUAGAUUCUUUCUUUAGGCCAACAGAAAGGAGGACUGGCCACGAUGUGCGGGUUGUCUUCCCUGUGUGGGCAUUCUCAGGGAGCAGUGACUAAAGUCAUUGCUUUGUUAAUCAUUCCCAGGGAAGGGGUUGAGUUCCAAGUUGUAAAGUAAAUUAUGACAAAGCGAAAUGUAAAGCCUUCAGGUGGACACUGGACCUGGUGUGUCAUGUGGGUUAGAGUUUCCUGUCAGCCUCAGUGCAAACAAAGCUGUGACCCCUGGUGAGUCACCAUCUCUCCAGGUCUCAGUGUCUUUGUUUUAAAGUGAAGGAGUUAAACAUGAUUCUCUGUGGAGUCUGCCCAAUAACAUGAUAGAGACUUCCUUUAGAGGCUCAGAAGAGUUUCUCUUGAUACAAUGUCAAUCUGAUCUCUAAUAAUUUUGUUUUUCACGCACAUCUCUCUAACUAUAUCCUUAUCUGGGUGAAAAAAAUCUCUGCCAUGUCAGAGUGAGCAUAGGUGGGGGUGACCUUUCAUUGAAAAGUUGAGACAUUUUUUGGUCCUGUUUUUUUAAUCCAGUAUUUCCUUUUAUAAAAUUCAACACCUGCUAUGAAUUCCUUGUUCUUUUUAUUUGCAUUAUUCCUGGCUCACGCCGGUCAUUCUGUUGACACAACACUGGCUGUUUAUGGCGAUAACCAUAGUCACUUUGAUAGUCUCAUAAUGCAGUGCUAACAUUGACUUAGACUUUUGAAUAUAAAGUCCACUGUUUCAAAGGGCAUAGACUCGUGGGUUCCAAUACAAGCAAUUAAGUACUUACCAUACUCUGUAGUUUUCUUCAUAACAGAAGAGAACAUUUCAGUACACCUCAGGUCAUUGCUUUUGUCAAUCAUCCUUGGCUUUUUUUUUUCCUUUUUAAUUUAAAUUUACUUUGUCGGAUGACAUAAAAGCCUCAGAAUUCAAGAAGUUUGUGCCAAGUUUUCCCUAUCAGUAAACUUUCCAGAUAAGCUGCAGAGAUAUAAGAAACUACAUGCUGAGAACUACAGAAACAGAGUGGAUUUGGUGGAGGCAUGUUGUGUGUGUGAACAGCGGUGGCAACUACCAGAAACGUAUUCAGCCUUGCCUGGGACCUCGGGACUGAAAACAUGCAGCAUGCUGUCCCUUAUUUGUCUCAUGGUGUUUUGACUUCGAACAUGGCUAACAUAUCUAUAUGUCUCAUACUGUUUUGACUUUGAACAUGGCUAACAUAUCACUAUGUUACAUACUGUUUUGACUUUAAAGAUGGCUAACGUAUCUACAAUUUCUCUAGGCGAGUUUUUACAAAAACUGUUGUUGAGAUGACUCUCAAAUGAGACUUGCUUGUCCUGAAAGUUCAGUUACUUUCCUUUAUAUAUGUUGUUUCUGGAGAAUCUGUUGAUCAUUUUACUGGGAAAACAAACCAAUAUAAAACAAAACAAGCGUUCUAUCGUGUACAAAGCACUGUGACAAUGUAUUUCUGUUAAGUCUUGCUUCUCACAUUACAAAUGUCUCGGAUUUAAAUCCCAGCACAUCUGCCUUUUCACACUUAAACAUGCUCUAUUAAGUGUCAUGCUUAGAUAUGAAUAUUGAACUAAAAUCCAUAGGUACAGUUAGAGUAAUUAAGCAAUUUCACCUUAAGGUAGUUUUCAACCUUGUGAUCUGUUGGAACCAGGGCCUGGGGAUUUAUCACUUCUAGAUUUGAAGCCUUUUGCUGUAUUGAAAUUCUGGGUGUGCCCAGCCUCGCCUGUCCUUAAAUGACAAAGUAAGGACAGAUGUUAUAUCGCUGCCAUAAUUUCAGGGCAACAUUAGGCUUCCCUCAGUGUUUUGAUGCCUUUAUAUUUUGCCUCCUAAAUAAUACCCUUUCUCCUUUCAGAUGUUGCUUUUUGUUUCCCAUUGCUCAUCUGGC
rnacentral:lncRNA from 1 species